rnacentral:rRNA from 1 species
GACGGGGGGGGCAAGUGUUCUUCGGAAUGACUGGGCGUAAAGGGCACGUAGGCGGUGAAUCGGGUUGAAAGUGAAAGUCGCCAAAAAGUGGCGGAAUGCUCUCGAAACCAAUUCACUUGAGUGAGACAGAGGAGAGUGGAAUUUCGUGUGUAGGGGUGAAAUCCGUAGAUAUCAGGAAGAACACCCGUGGCUAAGGCGGUUCUCUAGUACGGUACUGACGCUGAGACGCGAAAGCGUGGGGAGCGAACAGG